ensembl:ncRNA R08E3.5 ncRNA
AGGAUAGGAAGAGAAAUUUGGGGUGUGAGGAAUGGUGGGGAGCAAAUAUGGAGUGAAGGAAUCUCUGGGGGUGGGGCACCGCAGGCAUUGGAUACGGUAGAACUAAAAGUGCAAAAGCUGGCAAACUGAUAUGGGGCGGAUUACACCUGGGGGUGGCAGGGCGGAAAAACGACUUUACGCGGAUGGCAAUGAAAAAAUGAGAUGGCGGGGAUCGAGGGGGGGAGGAGGUGACGGUUUCUGAAUGGCAUUUACAAGAAGAGAGAAAGGGGGUGAGAUAGU